rnacentral:rRNA from 1 species
AAUGGAGGUAACUCUGACCCAGCCAUGCCGCGUGCGGAAGACUGCCUAGGGUUGUAAACUGCUUUUAUACAGGAAGAACACACCUACGUGUAGGUGCUUGACGGUACUGUAAGAAUAAGCACCUGCUAACUCCGUGCCAGCAGCCGCGGUAAUACGGAGGGUGCAAGCGUUAUCCGGAAUCAUUGGGUUUAAAGGGUCCGCAGGCGGUCAAUUAAGUCAGAGGUGAAAUCCCAUAGCUUAACUAUGGAACUGCCUUUGAUACUGGUUGACUUGAGUCAUAUGGAAGUAGAUAGAAUGUGUAGUGUAGCGGUGAAAUGCAUAGAUAUUACACAGAAUACCGAUUGCGAAGGCAGUCUACUACGUAUGUACUGACGCUCAUGGACGAAAGCGUGGGGAGCGAACAGGAUU